rnacentral:rRNA from 1 species
GCACAAGCGGUGGAGUAUGUGAUUUAAUUCGAUGCAACGCGAAGAACCUUACCUGGCCUUGACAUCCCGGGAAUUUCCUGGAAACAGGAGAGUGCUUUCAUUAGAGAGAACCUGGAGACAGGUGCUGCAUGGCUGUCGUCAGCUCGUGUCGUGAGAUGUUGGGUUAAGUCCCGCAACGAGCGCAACCCUUGCCUUUAGUUGCCAGCAGUUCGGCUGGGCACUCUAAAGGGACUGCCGGUGUCAAACCGGAGGAAGGUGGGGAUGACGUCAAGUCCUCAUGGCCUUUAUGGCCAGGGCUACACACGUACUACAAUGGCCGGUACAAAGGGCAGCGACAUUGCGAGAUGGAGCGAAUCCCGAAAAGCCGGUCUCAGUCCGGAUUGAAGUCUGCAACUCGACUUCAUGAAGGCGGAAUCGCUAGUAACCGCGAAUCAGCAGGUCGCGGUGAAUACGUUCCCGGGCCUU